rnacentral:rRNA from 1 species
UACAGAGGGGGCAAGCGUUGUUCGGAAUUACUGGGCGUAAAGGGCGCGUAGGCGGCCCGCUAAGUCGAACGUGAAAUCCCCAGGCUUAACCUGGGAACUGCGUCUGAUACUGGAUGGCUUGAAUUCGGGAGAGGGAUGCAGAAUUCCAGGUGUAGCGGUGAAAUGCGUAGAUAUCUGGAGGAAUACCGGUGGCGAAGGCGGCAUCCUGGACCGAGAUUGACGCUGAUGAGCGAAAGCUAGGGGAGCAAACAGGG